rnacentral:rRNA from 1 species
GAUGAACGCUAGCUACAGGCUUAACACAUGCAAGUCGAGGGACCGGCGCACGGGUGAGUAACACGUAUCCAACCUGCCCUUUACUCGGGGAUAGCCUUUCGAAAGAAAGAUUAAUACCCGACAUCAAGGAUGGGGAUGCGUUCCAUUAGGUUGUUGGUGAGGUAACGGCUCAAGAAGCCUUCGAUGGAUAGGGUUUCUGAGAGGAAGGUCCCCCACAUUGGAACUGAGACACGGUCCAAACUCCGACGGGAGGCAGCAGUGAGGAAUAUUGUUCAAUGGGCGCUAGCCUGAACCUGCCAAGUAGGGUGAAGGAUGAAGGCUUAUGGGUCGUAAACUUCUUUUAUAUAAGAAGAGGUAUUAUAUGAAUAAGGAUCGGCUAACUCCGUGCCAGCAGCCGCGGUAAUAC